GACCAGAGUUCUGAGGUUUGACCCAUAUUUUAUAUGGGACUGCACUCAGCGAUGUUCUGCAUUAUCUUCUGCUAUGGAAGAACUGGCAGCGGGGGGAUUCUUCCAAAUUGCAUUGUUUGGUCACCGGUUAUCUGUAAAUAUUGACUGUACAUUCAACACGAGUUGUAUCCAGAGGCUUAAGCAGUGCUUGUGGAUCAAGAGAGGAACAUUUCAGCUGCAAAACAGGUAUCCAAAUGAGAGCGCUCACAGAUUUGGAUUUGCCAGCUGAAAUGUGAAGGUGGCAACUUGCAGCAGAGGGGUGGUGAACAGCCAAACAAACCAGAGGUGAAGGCAAGCAUCUUUCACCGCAUGGCCCUUUCCAUAUUACGCUUCUGGGUGGAACAUAAAGGCACUUCCAGAGGGCGGCACAUCAGCAUAUCAUUUUUUUGGGAACAUGGUUAAAGGGAGAAGAUGUUCUGUCUCCAAGGCCAUCUGUGGUUGCUUUUUGGUGGGUGCAAGAAAGAUGCUGCUCAGUCCUGCCAUCUACAAACCAGCUUACAGGAGAUUGAUUUCCGAGAUGAGCUAUCCUGCACUGAUAAACGUCUCUGAUAAAACCCUGAUAUUCGUUGUGUGAUCCUGGAGAAGAGACAGGAUGAUCCAUCAGAACCCAUCCCUCCCUGACCACUGAAGGGCUGUUUCCCAGAAGAUGGAGCUCUCUCCCCGAGACUGGUGAUAGAGACCUU